GAUCAUGGCUCAGGAUGAACGCUAGCUACAGGCUUAACACAUGCAAGUCGAGGGGCAGCAGAUCGAUAGCUUGCUAUUGAUGCUGGCGACCGGCGCACGGGUGAGUAACGCGUAUCCAACCUUCCCUAUAGUAGAGGAUAGCCCGGCGAAAGUCGGAUUAAUACUCUAUGUUUUCCAAUGCAGACAUCUAAGUUGGAACAAAGGUUCACCGCUAUAGGAUGGGGAUGCGUCUGAUUAGGUUGUUGGCGGGGUAACGGCCCACCAAGCCUACGAUCAGUAGGGGUUCUGAGAGGAAGGUCCCCCACAUUGGAACUGAGACACGGUCCAAACUCCUACGGGAGGCAGCAGUGAGGAAUAUUGGUCAAUGGGCGAGAGCCUGAACCAGCCAAAGUAGCGUGCAGGAUGACGGCCCUAUGGGUUGUAAACUGCUUUUAUACGGGGAUAAAGUGAGGGACGUGUCCCUUUUUGUAGGUACCGUAUGAAUAAGGACCGGCUAAUUCCGUGCCAGCCGCCGC
rnacentral:rRNA from 1 species